AGAAUCAACGCUGGCGGCGUGCCUCAGACAUGCAAGUCGAACGCGAAAUUUCCCUUCGGGGAGAAAGUAGAGUGGCGCACGGGUGAGUAACACGUAGGUAAUCUACCUUUGGGUGGGGAAUAACAGCCGGAAACGGCUGCUAAUACCGCAUAAUGCAGCGGCAUCACAUGGUGACAGUUGUUAAAGCGAGGGAUCGCAAGACCCCGCGCCUAAAGAGGAGCCUGCGGCAGAUUAGCUAGUUGGUGAGGUAAUGGCUCACCAAGGCUACGAUCUGUA
rnacentral:rRNA from 1 species